CUCACAUAUGGGUUAAAGGUUAAGUUAGUUUAUUAAAAAGAGGGCCAAUCAGAUUUUAAAGGGAGGGAAAAAAGAAACUAAUUAAGAAGAAGAGGAAAAGAAAAGAAAAGGAGGAAACAAACCUCCCCUCCCGUCUGUACACCCGCGCACCCACACGAGCAAAUUCCGGCAAGUUUCACCCACCACCACCCUUAAUCAACUCCCCCUGGACCUAAGAACAAGACCCAUUCAGUUGUAGGGUUGUUGGAACAUUGAGGAAGUCGAAUUGAAGAACACCCAUCUUAGGGUUCCGG
rnacentral:lncRNA from 1 species